GUCGAGCGGACAGAUGGGAGCUUGCUCCCUGAUGUUAGCGGCGGACGGGUGAGUAACACGUGGGUAACCUGCCUGUAAGACUGGGAUAACUCCGGGAAACCGGGGCUAAUACCGGAUGGUUGUUUGAACCGCAUGGUUCAAACAUAAAAGGUGGCUUCGGCUACCACUUACAGAUGGACCCGCGGCGCAUUAGCUAGUUGGUGAGGUAACGGCUCACCAAGGCAACGAUGCGUAGCCGACCUGAGAGGGUGAUCGGCCACACUGGGACUGAGACACGGCCCAGACUCCUACGGGAGGCAGCAGUAGGGAAUCUUCCGCAAUGGACGAAAGUCUGACGGAGCAACGCCGCGUGAGUGAUGAAGGUUUUCGGAUCGUAAAGCUCUGUUGUUAGGGAAGAACAAGUACCGUUCGAAUAGGGCGGUACCUUGACGGUACCUAACCAGAAAGCCACGGCUAACUACGUGCCAGCAGCCGCGGUAAUACGUAGGUGGCAAGCGUUGUCCGGAAUUAUUGGGCGUAAAGGGCUCGCAGGCGGUUUCUUAAGUCUGAUGUGAAAGCCCCCGGCUCAACCGGGGAGGGUCAUUGGAAACUGGGGAACUUGAGUGCAGAAGAGGAGAGUGGAAUUCCACGUGUAGCGGUGAAAUGCGUAGAGAUGUGGAGGAACACCAGUGGCGAAGGCGACUCUCUGGUCUGUAACUGACGCUGAGGAGCGAAAGCGUG
rnacentral:rRNA from 1 species